rnacentral:misc_RNA from 1 species
CUGGUUCGAGCGUCAUUAUGACCACUCAAGCCUAGCUUGGUAUUGGGGUUCGCGGUCUCGCGGCCCUUAAAAUCAGUGGCGGUGCCAUCUGGCUCUAAGCGUAGUAAUUUAUCUCGCUAUUGGGUCCGGUGAUUGCUUGCUAAUAACCCCCAACUUUUAAGGUUGACCUCGGAUCAGGUAGGGAUACCCGCUGAACUUAA